CAAGAGCGUAUAUAAAUGUUGUUGCGGUUAAAAAGCCCGUAGUUGGAUUUGAGCGUAUUGCUUGUGAACGGGCCCGAGUCGAUUUCGGUCGUCUCGGUUCACCCGGUCACGUAUCGGCAUUGCGCUGAUGCAUGCGGGAAUGGACGUCGGCGGAAGCCUCCUUCACUGGUGGUGGAAGCAACUUCGGAGGUAUCACACUCCACAAGACGCGCCCGCAGCCGUCACUGUGAGUAAAACAGAGUGUUCAAGGCAACCGAUGUCUGGUUGAAUGUCAAAGCAUGGAAUGACAAGGGAUCGACCGCUGUGGCCUCUUUUUGUUGGUUUUUAAGCUUCAGUGAGGUAAACUAGUGUCGUGGGUCACCGUUCACUCGAGCGGUCCUGCGACAUUCCGGGAUCAACAGGAGCACAGGGGGCCAUGAGUACUGGAGGGCUAGUGGUGAAAUACUGAGACCCCUCCAAGACUGACAUCAGCGAAAGCACUUGGCUAUUGCGCUUUCAUUAA
rnacentral:rRNA from 1 species